AUGCGUUCACAAGUUCAUUUUCAAGUUCAGAGAUAUCUUCUACAUAGUCCAAACGAACGUCAAAUACUGCAUCCAAAAGGCGCCAUGAACCUGAGGCCAUUUUCAAAAUCUACGUGAAGUCUGAUUGUUGUUGUAUGCGGUUUUUCAAAGAGUAUAUCUGAAUGGAGAAUAAAAACUAGUGCAUAUACCGUCAAGAUGAUCAAAAGAUUGGGUCUCGCGGGUGGCCUUCCUUUGAUCCUUUGUGACAUGUAAGCAAUAUUGCCGACCAUUGAAUUUAUUAAUUCUUAUUCGUGUAUAUAUUCUCCAGCAUUGAUUCCAUGGUAUCAUUCUGGCAUUUUAACUAUUAGUGUUUCAGUCAAAUUCGUUUUUACCGAUAUGUCUUCAACUACCAGUUCUAUUCGUAACUAGCUGAAUGUCUUCAAAUACGGUUUGUUUUACUUCAGUUGCGACAAAACCAUUUGCAUCCUCAAACUUGGAAAAAUAAGYAAAGUUUUGAACGGGGCAAAUACAAAACCAGGAAGCCGGGUUUUAGUGACAUAUGAAAAGCAAGACUUAGAGGCAGAAAUAAUUGCUGUAGAGGGUAAGUUAAAACUGUAAUUUAUAGCUUUCAGUUCUUGUUAUAUCAUCACUAAUUGUCGAACAAAAAAUAUUUAUUAUAGAUGAUCUUCAAAAGUUGYGUACCGUCGAAACAGAGUUUCUGUGCGACAAGCAAAAUGCACAYUUGUUUAGCGACGAACCAACGUGCACAGAGGAAAUUGCUGGAGUAGGUGAAGAUAGUGUUGGCGAUAAUUCUAAUAACGUGGAAGACGGUGAACCCAAGAGCAGUAACAAGGACAAAAUUGGCACCAAAAGAAAGAAGUCAUCAAGUGCCGAGGUACGGCCGAAAUCAAAAACGACAAAAGUAAACAGGAAACAAGGCACAGAAAGAGUAGAAACAAACG